rnacentral:misc_RNA from 1 species
GAUGAAGAACGUAGCGAAAUGCGAUAAGUAAUGUGAAUUGCAGAAUUCCGUGAAUCAUCGAAUCUUUGAACGCAUAUUGCGCCCUCUGGUAUUCCGGGGGGCAUGCCUGUCCGAGCGUCAUUGCUGCCCUCAAGCCCGGCUUGUGUGUUGGGUCUCGUCCCCCUUCCCGGGGGGACGGGCCCGAAAGGCAGCGGCGGCACCGCGUCCGGUCCUCGAGCGUAUGGGGCUUUGUCACCCGCUCUGUAGGCCCGGCCGGCGCUUGCCGAUCAACCAAAACUUUUUUCCAGGUUGACCUCGGAUCAGGUAGGGAUACCCGCUGAACUUAAGCAUAUCAAUAAGCGGAGGA